rnacentral:rRNA from 1 species
AGAGUUGAUUCUGGCUCAGACGAACGCUGCGGCAUGGAUUAGGCAUGCAAGUCGAACGGACUGUAGCAAUACAGUCAGUGGCGGAAGGGUGAGGAACGCGUGAGCAACCUGCCCUCAAGUUGGGAAUAACAGCUGGAAACGGCUGAUAAUACCGAAUGUGGCUUUCGGACGCAUGUCCGGAAGGCUAAAGAUUUAUCGCUUGAGGAUGGGCUCGCGUCCCAUUAGCUAGUUGGUGAGGUAACGGCUCACCAAGGCAACGAUGGGUAGCUGGUCUGAGAGGAUGGUCAGCCACACUGGGACUGAGACACUGCCCAGACUCCUACGGGAGGCUGCAGUCGAGAAUCUUGGGCAAUGCGCGAAAAAGCGUGACCCAGCAAUGCCGCGUGCGGGAUGAAGGUCUUCGGAUUGUAAACCGCUGUCACCCGGGACGAAAAAUGACGGUACCGGGGGAGGAAGCCACGGCUAACUACGUGCCAGCAGCUGC